GAAACAGGCAUUAACGGGGUGCUCCCUGCCAGAGGGCACAACAUUAAUCUAAUACGUGGACGACAUCCUCCUCACAGCCACUUCAGCGGAAUCCUGUUUGGAAGCAACAGACACCGUCCUACGCCGGUUGGCCAAAACAGGUUUUAAGUGUGGCAGCCUUGGCUCUACCGAGCACCGUGGCUAUUAUUAAGUGCAAAGGACACGAGAACUCCAACAUAAUGGUGGCAAAGGGAAACCAGGCAGCGGACCAACCUGCAAAACAGCCUGCAGGUUACCAAAUGGGCUCCAAAGGGUAAGUGCAGAAGAUGAGGGACAGUUGGGGCCACAACUUAAUGGGGAACGUAUUAAGGAAGCCCAAAAGGGGGCGUCUCCUCAGGAGAAAACGGUGUGGAAGCAAAGGGGGGCUUAAGAGGUUGGAGGCCUCUGGAGGUCCCCUGAGGGUCGCCCAGUUCUGCCGCCGGGCAUCAGAAACAAGUGUUUACAGGAGGCGCAUGGCUCAUGUGGGGCAAACAAAAAUUGGCUAAAAUCUGUGCACAGACAAAUUUUACCUGGGUUCAAGCCCUCCCAUUCUUGUUAAUGGUCAUUAGAAGCUCAGCAAAUCAGGGUACGAACUGACCACCGGGAGACAGUUCCCUGGACCCAGUGCCGGCCUGAAGCUUAGGCCCAACCCGGAAGCUCCACCAGGUGAGUAUGCAUGUCGUAUAACAAUCUACGAGCUCUUGUUUCAGAUUUUGCGGACCAGGUGCGAGACAAAACAGGGGAUCAGAACGCCAACAACCCCCACACAGCAGCCUGGGUCAUCCUGAGGGUCAUUAAGAGAAAGUGGUCAGAGCCUCCAAGGGCGAGUCGUAUUAUGCCUAUUUCUUAAGUCGUGCGUUUUAUGUUUUCGCCAGCAGCGGAACUACUUUAUAGUCACUGUGUAUCUCAUCGUUAUUAGCGAGUAAGUUCUAACAUCGAUCAUAUUCUUUAAGGUUUUUUAGCUGACUCAUAUUUGUUCGGUACACACAGUAUUGCUUAUCUUCCACCCAAUAUCUAACAUGGAUGAUGAUGAAGUAGGUUGUUAAGACGAUACAUUCGUGACACUCAUUCUAACACUUUAUUGAGUUAAGGAACCUUUUGAUUAAGUUCUCACCCGGGACCUACGUAUAUCUUUGACCUGUAACCCCUCCGUCGAGUGAGCUCGUCCUUACAUACCGAUUAGGUCCCUAUUGCCUUUGGGGGAUGACUGGUACCUCUAUGUAUCAAGAUAAGGGCACUCACCGGUGUCUGCAGGUUUUGAAGCGGUGUUCUUGUCAUUCAGCCCCUUGGAGGAGGCCCCUCAGUGGAAAGGUUUUGUUGAGAAUUUUUAUUUAUAUAAAAAAGCGAAAAGGUUUACAAAAAUUGAAUAGAAAACCAUAAAAGCAGUUAUAUCGUUCAAACCCUAAAGGUUAAAAGAGCUAGAUUCCCCGUCUUCAUGUGUGAGCAAGAAACAAGGAGUAAGCGCGCCGUGUGUUAAAACAUCUUGGUUUAUAUACUUUUUUUUACAGAAGCAAGGCACUGUUUGCGCUACCAGGUCAUCUACGGUCAUCUCUAUACAGAGAAAACAGCUUUGCAUAUCAAACAGAAACAUCUUUAUCUUGUAUUCUGGUGUUAGUACUAGUACUAGUACUAGUUUUGGUGCAGGACUCUUGGUGCACAAAGCAAAGCAUUAUGUUUUUGUAAGCAUUUUUGUUUUACACAGUAUCCGGCUAUACAACACAACCCAGAGAGUGACCCGGCAACACAACCACCGAAACCUGAGAUCUUUCUUCUAUUUCAACAUUAUAGCCAGUGGUCUGCUGAGCGUCCAGAGGCUCCAUUUUCAAAAACGUCCUAUUUUACUUGACAAGCCUACGACAAUGAGAAAUAAAAACUAGAAAAUUCCGCAGUAAUUUUAAGAGUGUGGCCUAGCCUGCCCGCAGGUUCCUGUGCAUGAAACGGCCAAGAAGGUAAAUGGUAGCCACAAAGGUUAG
ensembl:lncRNA